rnacentral:rRNA from 1 species
ACACAUGCAGUCGAGCGGCAGCACGGGGAGCUUGCUCCCUGGUGGCGAGCGGCGGACGGGUGAGUAAUGCAUAGGAAUCUGCCCGGUAGUGGGGGAUAACGUGGGGAAACCCACGCUAAUACCGCAUACGUCCUACGGGAGAAAGCAGGGGAUCUUCGGACCUUGCGCUAUCGGAUGAGCCUAUGUCGGAUUAGCUAGUUGGUAAGGUAACGGCUUACCAAGGCGACGAUCCGUAGCUGGUCUGAGAGGAUGAUCAGCCACACUGGGACUGAGACACGGCCCAGACUCCUACGGGAGGCAGCAGUGGGGAAUAUUGGACAAUGGGCGAAAGCCUGAUCCAGCCAUGCCGCGUGUGUGAAGAAGGCUUUCGGGUUGUAAAGCACUUUCAGCGAGGAAGAAAGCCUCUGGGUUAAUACCCCAGAGGAAGGACAUCACUCGCAGAAGAAGCACCGGCUAACUCCGUGCCAGCAGCCGCGGUAAUACGGAGGGUGCGAGCGUUAAUCGGAAUUACUGGGCGUAAAGCGCGCGUAGGUGGCUUGGCACGCCGGUUGUGAAAGCCCCGGGCUCAACCUGGGAACGGCAUCCGGAACGGCCAGGCUAGAGUGCAGGAGAGGAAGGUAGAAUUCCCGGUGUAGCGGUGAAAUGCGUAGAGAUCGGGAGGAAUACCAGUGGCGAAGGCGGCCUUCUGGCCUGACACUGACACUGAGGUGCGAAAGCGUGGGUAGCAAACAGGAUUAGAUACCCUGGUAGUCCACGCCGUAAACGAUGUCGACUAGCCGUUGGGACCUUUAAGGACUUAG